rnacentral:tRNA from 1 species
GAAGACAUGGCUCAAGUGAUAGAGCCUCAGCCUAGCAAGCACAAAGCCCUAAGUUCAAAUCCUAGUAUCACCA